rnacentral:rRNA from 1 species
UGAACUUAAGCAUAUCAAUAAGCGGAGGAAAAGAAACCAACAGGGAUUGCCUCAGUAACGGCGAGUGAAGCGGCCCCGAUAAAGUUUGGGCUUACUUGUUAGGCCACCAAAAAUUUACCCACCCAUAGCUUUGCCGGA